AUGGCCACAAAGUCUUUAGUUGUUCUCAAUAAUGUUGUUCCGAAUGAGGAACAAGAUGCCAUGUUUGAUGUCUCUGAAAAUGAAUGCUCUUUAAAUUCAAGAAAAAAAUGCACUCAAUCAUGCACCCCUCUCUCCACAACCACUGCCCUGCGUAUGUGGGAUUUGAUCCGUGAAACAAGGGGACGGACAUAUUGUGGUCUCGAGCAUGCCUGCAUGGCGAAGUAUUGGGGCUAUCUAUCUAUGUUACAGACCUAUCCAUGCACUAUUGGAAAGUGGACACGCACAAAAUCCUUUUCAACUUUACCUGUUUUAUCAUUGUUAUCAAUUUUUCAUCAGAUAACCUGGGACGAUCAUGCCUCUUUGCUAGAGAAGAUUGUAGCUUAUGAAAAGGCUAGGUGUUUGCCACAUUGUUUCGGCUACUUCCAUCUGGCGAUUCCAGUGGAGCCCCUGAUUUUCAUCGAAGUCGCUCUAAAAAACAUGGCCACAUAUAUACAGGUUAUUAAACCAGGAUUAUCAGGUAUUAAUCUGGGAAAGUUUCUUCUCAAGCGUGUCAUUGACAUGUUGAGAAAAGAUAUGCCUUCCGUGCAGAUUUUUGCUACUCUUAACCUGAUACCUGGUUUCAUGCAAUGGCUUCUCGCUAAGUUGGCCUCUCAAAUAAAAUUAGCAGACAGAGAUGCAAGAGGGCAAUUCGAUAGAAGGUGCCAUGAUCAAGUCAACGGUAAACAAGGAAUUGAACUUUUGCAAGAUAUACUGAAAUCAAAGAGAAUACGAGGAAAAGCUCUAGAUGUUGUUGCUAAUUUUCACUUGCAAAAUGGAGCAAUGGUUGAGAGAAUAAACUGGAUGGCCGACAAAUCCGAGAAGGGCAUUGAACAAAGUGGAUGUAUCAUGGUCAAUUAUCUGUACAGGUAUGCUUUUAGCUUUUAUCGAAACAAACGUCAAUCUGGAUACCUUUGGAUGGUUUUCACGGACACUGGCUUCUCUAACACUAUCAAUAUGUUCAGGCUGGAGAAUAUAGAAGAAUAUACAUCGUCUUAUUUGGCUACAGGGAUUAUCCAUACGUCACCUAGCCUCUCCUAA
rnacentral:rRNA from 1 species